rnacentral:rRNA from 1 species
UACGGGGGGAGCAAGCGUUGUUCGGAUUUACUGGGCGUAAAGGGCGCGUAGGCGGCCCACCGCAAGUCGAUUGUGAAAUCUCCGGGCUUAACCCGGAAAGGUCAACCGAUACUGCGGGGCUAGAGUGCAGAAGGGGCAACUGGAAUUCUCGGUGUAGCGGUGAAAUGCGUAGAUAUCGAGAGGAACACCUGCGGCGAAGGCGGUUGCUGGGCUGACACUGACGCUGAUGCGCGAAGCUAGGGGGAGCGAACGGG